GGACAGCCUUGUCUUCCAGUCGGUCAGUCUGAUAUUCCACGUUCAAGUACUGUAAAAAUUUACUGUCCCAAAUGUGAAGAUAUCUACUAUCCACGAUCGAAGUACCAAGGCAAUAUUGAUGGAGCUUACUUCGGGACAACAUUUCCUCACCUCUUUUUGAUGACUUAUGGACACCUGAAGCCGCAAAAGCCAACACAGAAUUAUGUUCCACGGGUAUUCGGUUUUAAGAUCCACAGGACUUGAGAUUGAAGGUGCUCUGUGAAAUGUGAUGAGAUUAAAUAGUUUCCAGUGAAUGGUUCUCACCUGACAUUUAUGUACAAUUUAUCAAGGUAGAACCAGGAAAUGUUGAGUUGUUAAUGUUCAAAAUUGUUUCAUUCAUGAAAAAAGUAACUGUUGCCAGCCAAUCUACCCCCUUAAAUUUCUUUUGUAAUCUUAUUAUUUCUUCUUCCACUUCUAUUGACACCUGAUUU
rnacentral:misc_RNA from 1 species